GUGAGGAAUUUUCCGCAAUGGGCGAAAGCCUGACGGAGCAAUGCCGCGUGAAGGAUGAAGGCCUAUGGGUUGUAAACUUCUUUUCUCAGAAAAGAAUUAUGACGGUAUCUGAGGAAUAAGCAUCGGCUAACUCUGUGCCAGCAGCCGCGGUAAGACAGAGGAUGCAAGCGUUAUCCGGAAUGAUUGGGCGUAAAGCGUCUGUAGGUUGUUUAAAAAGUAUUCUGUCAAAGAUUAGGGCUUAACCCUAGAUAGGCAGAAUAAACUUUUAAGCUAGAGUUUGGUAGAGGCAGAGUGAAUUCCCGGUGGAGCGGUGAAAUGCGUAGAUAUCGGGAGGAACACCAAAGGCGAAGGCACUCUGCUGGGCCAAUACUAACACUGAGAGACGAAAGCGAGGGGAGCAAAUGGGAUUAGAAACCCUGGUAGUCC
rnacentral:rRNA from 1 species